AUUAACGUGAGGGGAAUCUGAAGGAAGGUGGAGGCAAAUCUCUGGUCUGACGAACAGAAAUCACAUGAGGCUAUAGUUAAGGAUAAGGCUGCAUAACAAGUCAAAGUCCAAUAACUACUCGGAAUUAACUAAAGUAAAUGUGGCAGAUAUAUGGAGAGAAAGUGACGUGU
rfam:Roseburia sp. 831b contig000023, whole genome shotgun sequence.